rnacentral:rRNA from 1 species
AGAGUUUGAUCCUGGCUCAGGAUGAACGCUGGUGGCAUGCCUAACACAUGCAAGUCGAACGGACCUUUAUUUUUGAGAGUUCCUUAUAGAAAUUCUCAAAAUACUGGUUAGUGGCGGACGGGUGAGUAACACGUUGGUACCUACCCUCUAGUGGGGAAUAACUUCGAGAAAUCGAGGCUAAUACCGCAUGUGGUCUACGGAUCAAAGCAGUAAUGCGCUAGAGGAGGGGCCUGCGUCUGAUUAGCUUGUUGGUGAGGUAAAAGCUCACCAAGGCGACGAUCAGUAGCUGGAUCGAGAGGUUGACCAGCCACACUGGGACUGAGAUACGGCCCAGACUCCUACGGGAGGCAGCAGUGAGGAAUCUUCCACAAUGGACGAAAGUCUGAUGGAGCAAUGCCGCGUGCAGGAUGACGGCCUUCGGGUUGUAAACUGCUUUUAUAUGGGAAGAUUAUGACGGUACCAUAUGAAUAAGGACCGGCUAACUACGUG